GACCCUGUGGGGAAAGAUAUCAACUAUACGCCAACGGACGCAUAGGAAAAACUCGACGUUUAUCGACACCAACGGAGAGGAGGAAACUACUUCACUAGGGAAGAAGGACGACGUUACGAACAUUGAAAGAUGAUGUUUACCGACAUCAAAAGAAGACCAGACACUUACGCAUGACUGGGAAAGCACCAAAAGAUGGUGUUUACCGACACCAAAG
rnacentral:lncRNA from 1 species